AAGAGAUGCCAGAUGUUGAAAUUGACAUUGAUGAUCUUCUCGAUGCAGACAGUGAGGAAGAGAGAGCUUUAAAAUUGCAGGAAGCUCUCGUAGACUGCUACAAACCAACAGAGGAAUUUAUCAAAGAACUGCUCUCUCGGAUAAAAGGCAUGAGGAAACUGAGCCCUCCACAGAAGAAGGGCGUAUGAUUCUGGAACAGGGUGGAAUUCUCCCAGAGUUGAAGAAAGCAUUCUGGGAUUUGGACUAAAUGAAGACUUUCAAUAGAGAAUAGUUGUCUUAUGAACAACUUUUUGUUUGUUUUUUUGGGGUGUGUGUGGUGGGAAUCUGUUAGACAUUUAUUCAAGAGUGUUCCUUUUCUUUGUUUGUUUUUAAAGGUUUUUGUUAGUAAUAUUUUAAUAGCGAAGAUAUCAUGACUCUGGCCACAGCCUAAUGAAAGUUUAGCAAGGCUGGGCCAGGCCAGACCAUGUUUGCUGCAAGGACUCUAAGGUUUAGGACCUUACUAUACAGGGAAGAUGGUUUUCUUACAACUAGUUUGGUAAUACUUUCUUAAGUUGUACAUUUGACUCAGAUGUUGAAUUUCUUGUACUUGUAUAUAUCUACACAACUAUGUUAAAAUGUAAAUGUGAGUUUUAUUUCACAUUGAUGGAAUAAACUUGUGGUUGUCCUUUAAUUGGAGGUCACAGCACAUGUGUUUUCCAGAGGCUGCCACUAGGCAUUCUCCAUGUGAGUGCUGUAGACAUUCAACAUUCACUUUCUGCACCAAAGUGAAAGAAUUCGGUGUAUCCGUUAUUUUAAUGAGCUACACUAUGAAAAUGUUGAGUUGGUCAAGGGCUUAAUUUAUGGACUUUAUUUCAUUGGUUGGGAUGCUUUGCCAGAUCAUGAACUUAUUGUGUCAUCUGUGGUCUUUUAAAGUUUUAUGAACCCUUAAUUUGAAGAACUCACUUGAUUUCUAGAGAGAUACCCAUGCUACCUGAGUGGUGUUCAGCAAUGGAAAAAGAAAGCACCAUGUAGCCAUGAAUCCUCUGCUUUCAGUGGAGUACUGUGUAUUAUUCUCUUUCCGUGACAGCAGGUCAAAGGGAAGUUAGUGGAUUUAGUGUGUUCCUACUUACAAGACUCGAUUCUGGCCCCUUCUGUGCCUGGAUAGUGUCACACCAGAGGGUGUGAACUAUGUGUUGAGCAGGUGCAGAGAUGAGAAAGCCUUGCCUUCUCUUGAGACAGUUAGUUCAGGAACAUUCACUGGUUUGCAAAUGUGGAGAUUGCAUGUCUGGCUUCUCUCAAUAGUUUGUGGUGAGGACUUUGGAGGCUCCUGGCCCCAAUUGUGCAACCUGAUCCCUGUGCUCAGAGCAGGGCUGAUCACUAGUCCUGAGCUCUCUGCUCCAUACCAGCUCUUUGGAAAAGGAUCAAAACUCAGAUGGGAUGUGGGCAGGUCAAAGGUAGGAGCAGAAAUUCUUCCUUCACUCUGGGAGACCCCACAGAAACUGCAUCUACUGGAUGUCGUCUCCAGGUGGCCCUGCCCCAGGACAGGGGUUAGGCAUUUUAUAUCAAGGGUGCUCUGAACAUAUUUUAUUUUUAAAAAGAACUCUGUUUGUGAAUUUUACGUAUUCUGGCAAGCUUUUGAAAAUGUAUUUAAUUUUGUAAUGUUUACCAAUGAUUUAUUUACAUGCUAUUUACUCAAAUAAAUGG